rnacentral:tRNA from 1 species
GGGUAUAUAGCUCCAGUGGUAGAGCGCAUGCCUAGUAUGCACUACGUCCUGGGUUCAAUCCCCAGUACCUA